rnacentral:rRNA from 1 species
AUUGAACGCUGGCGGCAGGCUUAACACAUGCAAGUCGAGCGGAGAUGAGGUGCUUGCACCUUAUCUUAGCGGCGGACGGGUGAGCAAUGCUUAGGAAUCUGCCUAUUAGUGGGGGACAACAUUCCGAAAGGAAUGCUAAUACCGCAUACGUCCUACGGGAGAAAGCAGGGGAUCUUCGGACCUUGCGCUAAUAGAUGAGCCUAAGUCGGAUUAGCUAGUUGGUGGGGUAAAGGGCUACCAAGGCGACGAUCUGUAGCGGGUCUGAGAGGAUGAUCCGCCACACUGGGACUGAGACACGGCCCAGACUCCUACGGGAGGCAGCAGUGGGGAAUAUUGGACAAUGGGGGGAACCCUGAUCCAGCCAUGCCGCGUGUGUGAAGAAGGCCUUAUGGUUGUAAAGCACUUUAAGCGAGGAGGAGGCUACUGAGACUAAUACUCUUGGAUAGUGGACGUUACUCGCAGAAUAAGCACCGGCUAACUCUGUGCCAGCAGCCGCUGUAACAC